rnacentral:lncRNA from 1 species
GGGAGGGCGGGCGGAGCGCGCGGGAGCAGCGGCGCGGGGGCGCCCCCCGCGGCCGGCGCUCGGGUUACAGCGCGCUCCCGCCCGCCCGCGCGCUGACGGACCUGGUAACGGAACCGGCCGCGGCGCUGCAUUGUGGGAGCAGCAAGCGGCCGGGGGCGCGGGGCGUCUCGGCCCGGGAACAGCCGGGUUCGCGAAGCGGGGCGAGGACGGGGUCUUCGGAGGCUGGAGGCCAGCGAAAUCUGUCACAGCCCGGGCCGAGACUGUAAAACUGCCCGCCCUCAGCGGUCACCACCGAGUGGCAGGUUUUUUCCUCAGACAGAAAAGGGGGUGAAAAAAGAAAAAAAAAAGCCUUUCUGUCCCCGAGGACUGGUUUGAAUUGCUUUUCAUCUGGAGUAGCUGUGAUUCAGCGUCCCCCUUAGCAGCAAGUAUGACCGAGGCAGAAGACGAGGGGGAAAAAACGCUAAUGAAUCAGAUGUGGAUAUAUAGACAGAAAACCGUGCAUGGGAAGUACAAUGAGUUUGGAAGAGAAUUGAAAAGCCAUAGGUACCGGAUCAUAAUCCUCCUAGGACAUGGACAACAUUGGAGGUGCCAACAUUAUAUUGUGAAGAAAGGUGGUUGUAUUUCAUGGACUGAAUACCAAGAGGCCCUGCUCAGAUACAGCUUUCAGGAUGGAAGUUCUCAUUCCUCCAGUUGCUGGGAGUAGGAUGACUAACAUCAUGCUGCUGUGUAUCCCUCCCAUUGACUGUGCUGGACCAGAAAGCCACCUCACCCAAGAUGCUGCCCUCUCCAGCCCCAACCAGGGACAACUUUGCAAGGUGAUCCCAGCUCUAGGCCAUCUGGAUGAUGGAUGAAGCUCUGCUGAGACACCAGUACAGCUCAGUUUCCUCCUUCUGCCCCAUUUUGCUUCCUCCACAACUCUACAAGUAUUAAUCCCAAAAGCAUUGUGCAUAAUAUCACACAUCCAAAUACCUUAGAUUAGGAUCUGUUUCCUGGAGAAGUCAAUCUGCAACAUUUGGUGGAGAAUGAGCCUGGUGAAUUAGAUCUUAGACACGCUUAGACGAGAUGUGUAUGAAAUGACUAGCAGCAUGCCUGGCACCAAGGUGGAAGAUUGGGAGUGAUUAUUUUUUUGAUAGGUGAAAGAAUUCCAAAGGGGGUGCCAAGACAGAAUUAAAAGGGUGCUCACAUCAACUUUAAUUCCUACUUGAACUUAUACCUUAAAUAUAAAUUGUGAAUCUUUUAGGCUUUCUGCUCAUUCAUAUGUGUUUUCCGUCCAUUGUGUCCUACUGGGAAAUUGAAUGAUGUCCCCAAGGCUCCUAAGUAUGACACACUCAUAGGGAAACUGGCAAGCCCUGGGCUGGGAUCAUACAUCCUUUGACAAGCAAAGAUUAGGCCAAGUGCUGGGCUGUGAUUUUAUUAAUGUCCAUAUUGCAUUGGAAUUUCACACUAGAGUGAUUUAUUCUGAAGAAAGACCUACUAAAUAUCUAAAAGAAGUUUUAGUUAUUAAACUUUCCUCAAGGGUAUAGCUAAUCAUAAAUUGACUCAGCAUGGAUAAGUAGGACAGAUUUGAUUGUUUUCUUUUUCAGAUUAUGUGGUAUAUCAUAGUUCUGUUUAUGAAUACAAAGAAAGAAUCUAUAUUGAAAAGUAAUAUGUGUGCAUAAAAGUAAGCAAUGCAGAAUUAUACAAAUUAAAAAGUGAAAAUCCUCUAUCAUCUCGCUACCUGCUAUGCCACUCCUUGGAAAUAGUCACUGAUGCAUUUAAGGUACACUUAUAAUGAAACUGCAAAUAUAAAUGCAUAAAUACAUAUGGUGAAUCUCACCAUGAAAUUCUUUUGCUACUGAGAGAAUGGAAGCCUCUAUUCACACCUGUCCUUUUGAUCAGGUGAAUCUUCUCUGUACAUGGCAGCAAAGAGUCUAGGUCAUUACUAGAAUAUUGGCAGCUUUCUUUUUUCACAAAACAGCUUCCCACUAGAAUAGCAGUGGAGUCACCCAUUUCUUUGGAAGUUCACUUUGUUCUGAAAGUGGUGUCAUCUCAUAUUGCAACCUGGUUGGAAGGACUUCUUUUAUGCUUUUUAUAUCUUCAAUCCUCAUAUUUAUGACACAUCUAGAUUUGCUGUUUUCAUUAGCACAUAUCAC